rnacentral:rRNA from 1 species
GAACGUACCUUUUGGUUCGGAACAACACAGGGAAACUUGUGCUAAUACCGGAUAAGCCCUUACGGGGAAAGAUUUAUCGCCGAAAGAUCGGCCCGCGUCUGAUUAGCUAGUUGGUGAGGUAACGGCUCACCAAGGCGACGAUCAGUAGCUGGUCUGAGAGGAUGAUCAGCCACAUUGGGACUGAGACACGGCCCAAACUCCUACGGGAGGCAGCAGUGGGGAAUAUUGGACAAUGGGCGCAAGCCUGAUCCAGCCAUGCCGCGUGAGUGAUGAAGGCCCUAGGGUUGUAAAGCUCUUUUGUGCGGGAAGAUAAUGACGGUACCGCAAGAAUAAGCCCCGGCUAACUCCGUGCCAGCAGCCGCGGUAAUACGGAGGGUGCAAGCGUUAUCCGGAUUCACUGGGUUUAAAGGGUGCGUAGGCGGGUUGAUAAGUCCGUGGUGAAAUCUCCGAGCUUAACUCGGAAACUGCCGUGGAUACUAUUAGUCUUGAAUAUCGUGGAGGUAAGCGGAAUAUGUCAUGUAGCGGUGAAAUGCUUAGAUAUGACAUAGAACACCAAUUGCGUAGGCAGCUUACUACACGAUCAUUGACGCUGAGGCACG